rnacentral:lncRNA from 1 species
ACCCUCGCUACUGCGUAACAUUCCUUAAGUUAAAUCACAGAACCUAGCAUAACCUUUUUCUUUUUUCUUUUUUCUUUUUUUUUCUUUUUUCUCCCUCAGUCUUUUAUUUCAUUGAGAAGAGCCCAAAGUAUAAUAUUCUUUCAGGAAGCAUAAAUCGUAUUGCUGGAAGUAAUAGCAAUCUCCCAAGCAGAAUCCCCCGGGGACUCGCGCCGCUCCGCUUUCCAAAAAGCUGCCUUCAAGUACAUCCCAUGGUGCCUCCUUCCCAGCAGGAAUCCCCAGUGCUGCACUGGUGGCCGUGCCUGAGGAGCUGUAGAUGAUGCCCAAGCAACUGGAGCUUUUCACCCUAGGGUUUUCCCAGCGUUUUGGACCAUCCUGGGACUUGGGAGAAGCUGCCAAGACUCUUGUCCAACCACCCCGAUUUCGGUGCUUCUUCUUGACUGUCGGUACGCGCGUGAGACAAUAGCCGAAAGGAAGUGGAAUUGAAGGGGCUUCUUGAAAAACAGCAACUUCUGACAAAAUAAACCAAGACAAAGAUCCAUUCAAGAUGAAGUUAUCAAACCGUGCGAAACCAAUACAGCAACGUUUCCAAGCUGUGGCUAAGGUUUGGUUUUUUGGUCACAAAAAAAAAAAAGGAACAUGGAAACUAUUUAUUAUCAAGAAAAAUCAAGAUUUGAACAUGAAAAAAUAUGGAUCGUGUAUGCAGAGGCUCACGUCAGCCAUUGGAUAUAGGUACUCACUGCCAUUGAUUUCCAUGUGUCUGGAGACAGCUUAUAACACUCAAGGAUAUCAGCAUUUCAUUAUGUUACAUAUUUAGAUACAUCGUAUUUCUAACGCUGCUGGUUUUGCUCCCGAAGUUCAUUUUUUCCUUCUUUUUGCUGUAAAAUAUAGCAAAUACUGGAAACGAUACAGAAUUUGGAGCACAUGUAGAUUCAGAUGUUCAGUUCAAAUCUAUUAGUUCAUCUCCUGGUUUCACUUUGAACACCCCCUUCCUCUUCCCCUUCCCCAGGACUCAUUUCUCAUUUCCCCAGCACAGGAAGGACAUGGACCUGUUGGAGCAGGGCCAGAGGAGGCCACGAAGAUGAUCUGAGGGCUGGAGCCCCUCUGCUGUGAGGACAGGCUGAGAGAGUUGGGGGGUUCAGUCUGGAGAAGAGAAGGCUCCGGGGAGACCUUAGAGCCCCUUCCAGUCCCUCAAGGGAUCUACAGGAGAGAUGAGGUGGGACUUUUGAUGGGGGAGUGUGGUGAUAGGAUGAGGGGUAAUGGUUUUAAACUGAAAGAGGGGAGAUUGAGAUGAGAUCUCAGGAAGAACUUCUUUGCUGUGAGGGUGGUGAGAGCCUGGCCCAGGUUGCCCAGAGAAGCUGGGGCUGCCUCAUCCCUGGAGGGGUUGAAGGCCAGGUUGGAGGGGGCUUGGAGCAACCUGGUGUGGUGGGAGGUGUCCCUGCCCAGGGCAGGGGGUUGGGACUGGAUGAUCUUUAAGGUCCUUUCCAACACAAACCAUUCUGUGGUUCUCCUGCAUGGCUCAGGGCAGGCUGCACACAGGUGAGCCCCGGCGGAACAGAAUUUUGGAUGCCAACCCCUUUAGGAUUCAUUUUUUUCCAGGUUUCCAGCAGCAAUUCUCUAACGAAAGAGAAUGAGAGGGGGACUUAGGCUCGGUGUCCGUUUCUAGAAGCAGCAUUAAUUUGGCAACAUUACCAAUAAAUAAACAGCCCUUAAAGAGCA